rnacentral:rRNA from 1 species
AGCAGCCGCGGUAAUUCCAGCUCCAAUAGCGUAUAUUAAAGUUGCUGCAGUUAAAAAGCUCGUAGUUGAAUUUCGGGAUCAAUAUGUUGGUCGUGCCUCGGUACGUACUAGCUUAUUGGUUUCUCCCUUCUGACGAACCAUGAUGUCAUUUAUUUGGUGUUAUGGGAAAUCAGGACUGUUACUUUGAAAAAUUAGAGUGUUUAAAGCAGGCUCACGCUUGAAUACAUUAGCAUGGAAUAAUGAAAUAGGACGUUUGAUUCUAUUUUGUUGGUUUCUAGGAUCGACGUAAUGAUUAAUAGGGAUAGUUGGGGGCAUUAGUAUUCAAUUGUCAGAGGUGAAAUUCUUGGAUUUAUUGAAGACUAACUACUGCGAAAGCAUUUGCCAAGGAUGUUUUCAUUAAUCAAGAACGAAAGUUAGGGGAUCGAAGACGAUCAGAUACCGUCGUAGUCUUAACCAUAAACUAUGCCGACUAGGGAUCGGAUGAUGUUAAUUUUUAAUGACUCAUUCGG